rnacentral:rRNA from 1 species
UACGUAGGGUGCGAGCGUUAAUCGGAAUUACUGGGCGUAAAGCGUGCGCAGGCGGUUUUGUAAGCCAGAUGUGAAAGCCCCGGGCUUAACCUGGGAAUGGCAUUUGGGACUGCAAGGCUUGAGUGCGGCAGAGGAGACUGGAAUUCCUGGUGUAGCAGUGAAAUGCGUAGAGUAUCAGGAGGAAUACCGAUGGCGAAGGCAGGUCUCUGGGCUGACACUGACGCUCAUGCACGAAAGCGUGGGGAGCAAACAGG